rnacentral:tRNA from 1 species
GCUGUGGCACAGUAGCAGGACAUCUGCAUUACAUGCAGAAAGUCCCAGGUUCAAACCCUGGCAUCAUCA